rnacentral:tRNA from 3 species
GAGAUUGGUGGCGAUUACGGUAACACCCUGAAGUGCUUCUGACUUUUAAUCAGUGGGUCGCAGGUUCGAAUCCUGCACGGCUCACCA